GACGUAGGGGGCCAGCGUUGUUCGGAAUUACUGGGUGUAAAGGGUUCGUAGGCGGUGUGGCAAGUCGGGAGUGAAAUCUCUGGGCUCAACUCAGAGACUGCUUCCGAAACUGCUGUGCUGGAGUGUGGGAGAGGCGCGUGGAAUUGCAGGUGUAGCGGUGAAAUGCGUAGAUAUCUGCAGGAACACCCGUGGCGAAAGCGGCACGCUGGACCACUACUGACGCUGAGGAACGAAAGCUAGGGGAGCAAACGGG
rnacentral:rRNA from 1 species